rnacentral:rRNA from 1 species
UACGUAGGGAGCGAGCGUUGUCCGGAAUUACUGGGUGUAAAGGGAGCGUAGGCGGGGAUGCAAGUUGGGUGUCAAAACUACCGGCUCAACUGGUAGUCGCACUCAAAACUGCAGCUCUUGAGUGAAGUAGAGGCAGGCGGAAUUCCUAGUGUAGCGGUGAAAUGCGUAGAUAUUAGGAGGAGCACCAGUGGCGAAGGCGGCCUGCUGGGCUUUUACUGACGCUGAGGCUCGAAAGUGUGGGGAGCAAACAGG